CCAGACUCCUACGGGAGGCAGCAGUGAGGAAUAUUGGUCAAUGGCCGAGAGGCUGAACCAGCCAAGUCGCGUGAGGGAAGACGGCCCUACGGGUUGUAAACCUCUUUUGUCGGGGAGCAAAGCGAGUCACGUGUGACUCAUUGAGAGUACCCGAAGAAAAAGCAUCGGCUAACUCCGUGCCAGCAGCCGCGGUAAUACGGAGGAUGCGAGCGUUAUCCGGAUUUAUUGGGUUUAAAGGGUGCGCAGGCGGAGGUGCAAGUCAGCGGUCAAAUUGCGGGGCUCAACCCCGUACUGCCGUUGAAACUGCAUCCCUUGAGUGCGCGAGAAGUAUGCGGAAUGCGUGGUGUAGCGGUGAAAUGCUUAGAUAUCACGAAGAACCCCGAUUGCGAAGGCGGCCUGCCGCAGCGUUACUGACGCUGAAGCUCGAAAGCGCGGGUAUCGAACAGGAUUAGAUACCCUGGUA
rnacentral:rRNA from 1 species